GGGAUAAUAGCUCAGCUGGUUAGAGCGCACGCCUGAUAAGCGCGAGGUCGAUGGUUCGAGUCUAUUUAAGCCCACCA
rnacentral:tRNA from 1 species